ACAUGUGCAAAUGCUUCCCGCA
rnacentral:snRNA from 1 species